rnacentral:rRNA from 1 species
CCUACGGGUGGCAGCAGUGAGGAAUAUUGGUCAAUGGGCUCGAGCCUGAACCAGCCAAGUAGCGUGAAGGAUGACUGCCCUACGGGUUGUAAACCUCUUUUAUAAAGGAAUAAAGUGAGGCACGUGUGCCUUUUUGUAUGUACUUUAUGAAUAAAGAUCGGCUAACUCCGUGCCAGCAGCCGCGGUAAUACGGAGGAUCCGAGCGUUAUCCGGAUUUAUUGGGGUUAAAGGGAGCGUAGAUGGUUUGUUAAGUCCGUUGGGAAAGUUUGCGGCUUAACCGUCAAAUUGCAAUUGAUACUGGCAGACUUGAGUACAGUUGAGGUAGGCGGAAUGCGUGGUGUAGCGGUGAAAUGCUUAGAUAUCACGAAGAACUCCGAUUGCGAAGGCAGCAUACUAAACUGCCACUGACAUUGAUGCUCGAAAGUGUGGGUAUCAAACAGGAUUAGAUACCCCAGUAGUC